AUUGAACGCUGGCGGCAGGCUUAACACAUGCAAGUCGAGCGGGGUGAUGGUGCUUGCACUAUCACUUAGCGGCGGACGGGGGAGUAAUGCUUAGGAAUCUGCCUAUUAGUGGGGGACAACAUCUCGAAAGGGAUGCUAAUACCGCAUACGUCCUACGGGAGAAAGCAGGGGAUCACUUGUGACCUUGCGCUAAUAGAUGAGCCUAAGUCGGAUUAGCUAGUUGGUGGGGUAAAGGCCUACCAAGGCGACGAUCUGUAGAGGGUCUGAGAGGAUGAUCCGCCACACUGGGACUGAGAAACGGCCCAGACUCCUACGGGAGGCAGCAGUGGGGAAAAUUGGACAAUGGGGGGAACCCUGAUCCAGCCAUGCCGCGUGUGUGAAGAAGGCCUUAUGGUUGUAAAGCACUUUAAGCGAGGAGGAGGCUCUUUUGGUUAAUACCCAAGAUGAGUGGAAGUUACUCGCAGAAUAUGCACCGGCUAACUCUGUGCCAGCCGCCGCCGUAA
rnacentral:rRNA from 1 species